UGGGAGCAUAUCUUGUCUCAUUUAAGUUUUGAGACCCACAGUGACUCUCCAGAUUACUGCCUGGCUGGGAUGUACUAAUACUGGGGAAAGCCAGUAACCCCACUCUCAAACACUGUCUCCUUAAUAAUAGCUGUGCAUCUAAGCUGCUAUAUCCUCCACUACCACCUCAUGAGGCAGAUAUUAUCAGUGGUCUCAAUCUUUAGCUAAGGAUGCUGAGGGUCAAGCAUAGCAAGUGGUACCCGGAACUUGAACCUAAGACUUUGAGGUCUAGGUAGCUAAUCACUUCGUCAGAAGUCUUGUCACUCAGCAGCUAGGGUACUGCACCAUCAGAGUUGUAGUCAACAACAGCACCCUCUUUCCUUUUCUUACUAGAUCUCUUAGACUCUUACUGUGGGUGUGGUCAUGAGCACUGGUCAAUGCACAGUGAGCAGAAAUGUCACUGCUUGCAUUCCCUGACUUUUCUGACCUUUUCUCUUUAGGUGGGCUGAACUGGCAGUGAUUCCCAGGACAGCUUUGAGACGCAGGUGCCUAGAGCAGCUGGUCUUGAAGAUAAAAGGAGUCUGGAUCCCCGAGUCACCACUUAGAGGAACAUAUUCUUACUCUAAACACCUACAGUAUGCUCUUAUUGGCUUAACAUACUUAGAUAUGAAGGCUGAUCAGUUAUAACAAUUAAUGUCAUCUUAGGCAAUUUAAGUGUUACCUUCCAAGGUGGAAUGGAAGGCCACCAAGGAACUGAAGAGGCAUCCCUGUGAUUAACUGUCCAGAGUGACACAUGGGCAAGCCUGGUCUUUGCUGUUCCAUGGAUUCAGGUUUGGACAUGGCCCUCAUUAUGGCCCACUUGAGAGAGCCAGAGUAACUUCAUGGUUUUUUGCUUUGUUUUGUUUUUUGUUUUUCUUUUUGCAAAUUAGCUAAUUUUCUGGAAGUUAGAAUGAUGGGUCUUCUUUAUGAAUUUGGCUCAUUUAACAAAUUUUAUUAAACACUCCAUUCUAGUGACUUUUCUAGGUGCCGGGGAGGAAAAAAAACCUCAAAACACCCACAACUUUAUGUAGUUGUGGUGAUAUUUGGUAGUAGUGGCAACAGACUAUUCGGUAAGCGAUCUAUUUCUCAACUAGCAAUGCAGAGACUGAUAAGCAGAAUAAGGUGAGUAGGAAUGCCAGGUGGAUAGAGGGGGGCACCUCUGAUAAAAGACAUUUGAUUGUAGACUGGAAACUGAGGAGUAACAGUGAGCAGAAAGAUGGACAAGUUUUAAGGAGCCUCUGACACACAGGCAGGGCAGAGGUGGCUCUGAUGUGGGGAGGGCAGGGAGAGGUAGGGAAUAGAGGGCAUUCAGCACUUAGCCUGCAUGGAUGUUAGUGGUCUCCUCUCUCACCCUCCCUGUAUCCCCCAACCCCCUCCACGUAGAAAGGAUAGGCAAUGCCUAUAGAGGGACUUAGGAGGAGUCAUUCUUGAACAAAAGGCCUAAGUUACCUUAUUAGGCCUCAGUUGAGAAAAUUAUGAAGUGUGGUGGCAGGUCUGGAAAUGUCUGUCACCAGUGACCACACGAACAGGGCAUGUCAGGGGGUGUGCUGGGUGUACCUUACGUCAGCACGGCCCUUCAGAUGCCACGCUACCCUGCAGGAGUACAAGACGUUCUAGGAAAAUGAUGGGGAGAGCAAGAGGAAAAAAAUCAUCUCAGUUUGGUUUAAUGAGGACUUGCUUACCAAAUUAUCCCAAGGCUUGCCCAAAGCCACAGCUUAGAGGCGCACAGAAUUCUUUCUGAGAAGGUUGGGCUGACAGGAAUUAAGGAACAGUUUCCACCAACCCCAAGCUGGACACCAAACAGAUGUGAAUUUGGUUUCCUUAUUCUUUAGAAGGCUCUCCCCAUCCCAAGUUAAUGAACUGCAACUCCUAAGGACAAAAUGGUUGUUGGCUUUUUCUUUCCUUUUUAAACCUGACUUGGUACCAUUGAGAAAUUAUGAAUAAAUGAACAAUACAUUGGAACCCCUAGCUUAGGCCAUGAUACAUGAGUCAGAACUCCAAGAUGACAAAGCCACAGAGGACUCUGGUGAUUCCCAAGUCACUUUCCCACAAAGGGCAUGGCUUCUUGCAGGGUGUAGCUGGUUAGAAAGGGCAACAUCAGCAGUACCUGAUUAGAAUGAGCUGUUUGGGGCAGCCCUGCUGACUCUCUGACCUGCCCUUAUAGAGCAGUACUUGCUGUUGACUCUGGCUGGCUUGCCACCCAUCAGAGCAGGCAAGCUGUUCUCCUCCAGGAAGAUUUCUUUCUCAUGCAAUGCAGCCUGCUGUUAGCUCCACCCUAUAGGACAGUCACUCAUGGAGUCUGACUUUUAGAAUUCUUGGUCCCUGCAAAGUCUGACUUUUUAAAAGGCGUCAUUCGGGCUGAGCUCAUCCCGGAGCUUGUCUUGCUUUAAUUUACCCUGUUUAGUUUCUGUUCUCCAGCAACAUAUAACCCCCUUUUUCUACCUCACUAACCUCAGUGGUAGCUCUCCCCAUGUUAAACAACGGUCUGAUUUGGCAUGGAGAAAAGCAGUCAGUCGUUUUCUUUAAAUCUUAAUGUUUUAGGCCCCAGGAACAUUUGAAGUACCUAUUUAAUGAGAAGACUUCUGGAGAAGCCUAGGCACUCUGCUGGGCACAAGGGUUUCUCCAUAUUCAUACCAGAUGGGGAAGCAGGAAAAUGAACUCCAGAGAGGAGGAGACAAGAAGCACCAUCUCUGCAGACAGAGCCCUUCCUAAAGUGGAAGAUUCUAGAAGGCUGACCUCCGGGGCCAAGUCUGGACUGCGCAGGGUAGCCUGGGGAAGCUCUGCCGAACAACAAUAACAUGCACGGUCUGCCCAAGGCAUGUGGAGUGCAAGGCACUCUGAAAAUUGGGCUCAAAACAACUUCUUUAUUUGAGACAAAAAGCCCUUUGUGUGGGUCUUCCUCCCUCAGCCUACAGAGGAUUCGUGUUCAGUGAGGCAGCAGCUCCUGUCUCCCCAGAGCUGCCUCAGGUAGAGACACUGCCUGACUGCCAGUGGCCAUGCAUCUGUGACCAUUACACGGGCCUAAGUGGGUUUGGGAGCUUUACCUUAGGAAUUAAGUAAGAAAAAUGAAGGCCCAAGCAGGGCACAGUGUAGCUCAGACAAUUUUGUCUUCUCUUGAUGUGAAUGAGACCUAAAUUGGGAAGUCUUUGGCCGAUGGCGAGGGCAGAUAAAUGUUAUGGAUUUGAUGUAAUCCCAGACCUCAGACUUGAAACUCAGCUUGACCCUUCCCUUUGAGCACAGGGAAGGAAGCAGAGGAGGGAGAUCGGCUCAACCAUAUGUCAAGUCGGGAGAGAAAAUGACAGCCAGAGCAAGGUGGAGAUGUGCAGAGUCAGGGGUGGAGACAACUAAAGAGAAGUCUGCAAAGUUACAUAGAUACAAUGUGUCCUUCAGGAGACAAACAGGCGGCUGUGAGAAGUGAGGGAAGAUACUUCAUGAUGGGAUCUGUGGAGUGGCACUGUGGAGCGGGACUGGAGGCGUCUGCUGCUCAGAAAUCCAAAUACCCACAAGGCCUGGGAUUGAGUGUGCAGCAGUGGCAAGCUGGACUCAUGUGCACCAAGUGCUGGGAAAAGGUGUCAGUGGCAUGGAGGCAGGAGAGUUCCCACGAGCAGCUCAGAAUUGUUUAGCUAGCACUUGGUUUGCAGAAAGUGAAGUGUCUGUGUCCUUUCAAGGGGCUGGUAUCAUAAAUACCCUGGUCACAUGUACAGUUGCUGUCUCCCUGGGCCAGUCUCAUGGAGGAGGCGUGUGUGUGUGUGUAUGUGUGUGUGUGUGUGUGUGUGUGUGUGUGUGUGUGUGUGUGUGUGUGUGUGUGUGAAUAUUCCUUUUGUGAGCACUUACCUCCAGCCUUACCUGUGUGAAAACCUUUUCCCUGCUUUAGAGAUGGCAAUCCUGAAUUGCUGAGGUUGAGGUAUUUGCUCGAGGCCACCCAACUAGUAAAUAGUAGACUUGAGCUGCAGCUCAGUGGUCUCACAGAAAUACCUGACUAUUCCACUCUAACACAUGGCUCCUGCUGCCUCCUGCAACUGGCCAGAACAGGUUAGUGCUGGGCUCCUGUGUUCUGCAGGCUCCCAAGAGCUCCUGGCAUGCCUGCCAGACCAAUGUGUGGAUCUGCCUUUUCCUGCACAGAGUGGACAACUGGCACUGAAUACCCGUCCUCCACUUGCUCCCAGAAGUGAGAAUUACCCAAGGUUGUCCCAGCAUUCUUAGCAGGUAAAGGCAGGAAUGUGGUGGACAGUCAAGAUGUCUACCUCUCAGUCUGAUAGUUUCCUGGUCCCUUGUCCUCACCCUUCCAUUUCCACAGGCAGCGCACAUUUUCAUAAGCCUCCUGCUGUCUUCUCUUUUUGCUCUAUUUUCCUUCUUGCCCCUGGGGUUGUAUGACUUGUAUGGUUCUUCUGUGCUCUAUCGUCUAGACACUUUAGCAUCACGUAAGGGGAAAGAAUGGACCACCAGCUCACCCUUACUAAGUCCCUUCUGAGCCUCUGCAUCUGUCAGGGCUUUCCAGAGAAGCAGGACAAGAAGCGACAGGUCCCAGCCCCCAAGGGUAGGUUGGCAGGCUCUGUCUCUGUGUCUCUCUGUUCCUGUCUGUCUCUCUGUCUUUGUCUCUGUAUGUCUCUCUGUCUUUGUCUCUGUCUGUCUCUCUGUCUUUGUCUGUCUGUCUCUCUGUCUUUGUCUCUGUCUGUCUCUCUGUCUUUGUCUCUGUCUGUCUCUCUGUCUUUGUCUCUGUCUGUCUCUCUGUCUUUGUCUGUCUGUCUCUCUGUCUUUGUCUCUGUCUGUCUCUCUGUCUUUGUCUCUGUCUGUCUCUCUGUCUUUGUCUCUGUCUGUCUCUCUGUCUUUGUCUCUGUCUCUGUGUCUCUCUGUUCCUGUCUGUCUCUCUGUCUUUGUCCCUGUCUAUCUCUCUGUCUUUGUCUCUGUCUGUCUCUCUGUCUUUGUCUCUGUCUCUCUGUCUUUGUCUCUGUCUCUGUGUCUCUCUGUUCCUGUCUGUCUCUCUGUCUUUGUCCCUGUCUGUCUCUCUGUCUUUGUCUCUGUCUGUCUUUCUGUCUUUGUCUCUGUUUUUCUGUCUCUCUGUGUCUCUCUGUCUCUGUCUGUGUAGGAACGAGGGGCCGAUUUUUUUCUUUUCCAAUGAAGCCUUUGAACCUCUAUAGCCUUUGUGCUGGCUGGAUGAAGCCUGUCCAGUAUGGAGGAUGGUUUCUUUUUACUUAAAAUGAGCUGGGUACAGGCAUCAGUACACCGCAAACAUCUAUAAGCCUUGCUGGCUGACUAACAAACAGGGUAGCCCAGUAGUAUACCUGCCAUGCUGCUGUUCAGCUCUCCCAGCCUCCGUGGCUCUGGUCCUCUCAAGUUGUCCCUCCUUUGCCUGGUCUUUCCUUUCCUUUACCUCUGUAAGCUCAAUCACUGGUACUUUGUUCAUGAUAGAAGCUGCCACUCCAGCCAUCUUUACUUCCCUGACAUGGCUCGAUGCACAGCUGUCCAAUUUGUGUUUCCAGAAGCCAUUGAACAUGACUGUGGAACGACCAGCCUCUACUUUAUUUCUCCCCUAACCUGUCCACAUUGCUGAGUCCUGUCUACACUGCUGAGUCCUGUCUACAUUGCUGAGUCCUGUCUUUCUACACUGCUGAGUCCUGUCUGUCCACACUGCUGAGUCCUGUCUGUCCACAGUGCUGAGUCCUGUCUGUCCAUAGUGCUGAGUCCUGUCUGUCUACACUGCUGAGUCCUGUUUGUCCACACUGCUGAGUCCUGUCCACACUGCUUAGUCGUAUCCACACUGCUUAGUCUUGUCCACACUGCUAAGUCCCACCUUAUUUGUUCACUUUGUCACCUCAACCUGAAACCUAGCAGCCCCCUCCUCUCAUUACCCCCUCACAGAGAUCGUCCCCCAUUUCUCCCUCCUCCAUUGUGAAGGGGGAGCCCCCCUCUAGGUGUCACUCCCCUCAUUACCCCCACUCCACCCAGCAAAUCAAGUCACUGAGGCCAGAUAAGGUAGCCCAGUUAGGGGAAUGGGAUCUAUAGGCAGGCAACAGAUUCAGGGACAUCAGGGUUUUCAAUGCUGUUGAACUGGUUAGCUGGCUUUCUCAUGGAGACAGUUCCUGCGUGAGAGCAGACAAGGGACCAUGAUUUCAGGACACAAGGACACAGGCUGCAGAAAAGAAUCUUCUUUCAGUCCAGAGGCUGGAAGACCAUGAUCAUAGUGCCCACAGCUGGUUUCUCCUGAGACCUCUCUCAAGGCUUGUGGAAGGCCCUCUUCUUGUUGACCUUGCAGGGCCUCUGUAAUGAAAACGCACCAGUGUCUCUCUUCCUAUCAGAACACCGCCAUUACUGUUAAAGUUCCAUCCUAAAGCCUUCAUUUCAACUUCAUCAUCAAACAGCAAUUAUCCAGAUAGUUAUGUUGUGAGGAUGUGAAGUUGCUGGUGACAACGCAUAAGGACCUUCUGAGGGAUACAGAUCAGCCCAUAGAACUUAGUCUUCUACUACCACAUUGCCAGUGACUUCCCCCACUUCAAGUGUGACAACCAUCAGAACUUGCUAGGCAUUGUUGAAUGUCCCUGGGAGCAAAACAGCCCAGAUCAAAACAAUAGGAGGAGUUUGAAUGCUGACUGCACAUUGAAGUUACUAGAGAAAUUAGACCCAAAUCCCCAAAAGGACCGCAGAGACUCUGAUUCAAAUGAAUUUGGGGUAAAGAUAUUUUGUUAAAGUGUUUCCAAAGUUUCUAACUUGUAGAAAUCCAGGGAGUGCGCCAGUGAAUAAGACAGAUAUUAAGCAACAAAUUUUAUGAUUAACAUUUUCAAAUGGGUCAUAUAUAUUAUUUUGCAACAUAUUCUUUAAUAGUUACCUGGAACGUUUUUCCGCACCAUGAGAUAAUGUAUAAUAAAAUUUUUAAUGAGUGUUGAAAAUGUUGUAGGUUAUGUAAUCAAGGUCCUGGUAUAUAUCCUAGAGAAAGAAGACUCCUCAAGUGGCCCAGGAAGGCACAGUCUUCAGAAGGAGCCUGUCUUUCAAGACUGUGGUCAGUUUCUUAGGCUAAAGUUUAAAAGGUGGGAACCAGAGUCAAAAGGGGGAGUGUGGGCUGACAAGGUGGCGCAGUGAGUAAAGGCACUUGCGGCUCCAGCCUGAAGAUCUGAGUUCACUACUCAAAACCCAUAGAAAGGGGAAAGGAGAGAGCUAUGUCCUUAAAGUUGUCCUUGCCCUCCACAUGUCCUCUGUGGCAUACCCACCCACCCACCCACAUCAUUCAACCACUAAAUAAUGAUAACAAAAUGAGGUUUUAAAAGGCUAUACAUAUUUUAUGGGUUUUGAAGCCUAUUCCAGUGUAGUUACUCAGAACUGUUGUAUCAAUCUGUAGUUUAAUCUUUGAGUAUUUCAGUUUUUGAGAUUACAUGAGUGUGGUACCUUGUCUAAACUUGAAUUUCCUUGGUUAUUAAAACUGAAUGUUCCCUUAAUCACUGCAUUACUUGCUCUUCACCCUUUGUGGAUUGUUGGCUUGUGACAUUUGUUCUUUCGUGAAACAAUACUUUAAUUUUUCUUACAGAUUUGUUAGAGCUUGUUGUGAGGAUAUAAUUAUCUGUUGCAGGUUGUAGAUGGGUUUUAUGCAGUUAUUAUUCCUCUUUACUAUUUAGAUGGAUUUGUUUCUAGAAGUAUCCUUGAGUGUGGUUCCCCCCCAAUUCCCCGCAUCUCUCCUCUCACACCCCCACUCCUCCCUCCCUUCCUUUCCAUUUUAUUCUAGGAAACAUCUUCAUAAACUUUUUUAUUCCAUGAUGAGAUCAACAUUUGUCCAUAUUUUAUUUUAUUAUUUUUUAAAAAUUAAUUUUUAAAAAAUGUACAGGUGCCCAGAGGCCAGAGGAACUGACUCUUCGAGGAGCUGGCGUGACAGGCAGCUGAGAGUCACCUCAUGUGGGUGCUAGGAGCUGAAUUCAAGCCCUCUGGAAGAGCAGUACAUGCUCUUAGCCCCUGAGCCACCGCUCCAGCCCCUACACUUAUAUUAUUAUUAUUAUUAUUACUAUUAUUAAACAUUUGGUUUUCUACUCUGUUUAGAAUGACAUGUCACUAAGGACUGAAGUUGCAUUUUAUUCCAGACAGUUACACAGUUGAUCAGGAACUUAACUGUUUUAUUUUAUUCUGUAAAUUUGAAAUGCCACUUUUCUAGCCUAAAUUCUAAUCUGAUUGCUAGGCCUGUUUAGGUACUUUUUAAUUCUACCUAUUGACUGACUUACUAGUUUUACAAUUUGUUUAAGCAGUUGAGGUUCAAAUUCACUUUAUUCUUGAUCUUUUUCAAAAGAAUUUUUGAAUUCAAAACCUUUUUUUUUAAUUUUAAAAUUUUCAAUUGUUCAACAGCAAAAUAGAUUUGUGAGUGGAAGUCCAUCGACUCAGGUGGGACUUGCAGCUUCCCCACACUGACCCUCACCAUUCAGACGUGGGCUGGCCCGUCUGCACUUUCUCCAUGGUCCCUGCAAACCGGGAUAUUUUCCACGUGAACGUCCUGUAUGUAGUUCUUAGGAAUGGAACUGUUUCCGUGUGACACUCACUAGGAUGUACAUCCGUGCUUCUGUUCAGAAGGAGGACACUCUAGCUCUCUGCUGUGAAGUCGGAUUAUUCAUUUCAGCUCUUGGCUAUCCUCACUUCUCUCGUCGUUACAGGUUAUUCGAGUGAGGUUAACUUGGUUACCUUUGCCUCCCUUGAGUUCUUGUUUCUUCUCCUCUUUCUGAACUGGACAACUGUCUAGAAAAAACUUAUCUGCAGGAGAAGUAGUAAGCACUCUUUGGCUGACUGGUAAGUUUGGACCUUUUUAUCUGUUCUAAUAUGAGACCGGCCAAAGUUCCAACGGACAACCGAGUUCUCCUGACCUGCUCAGACUUUUGUUUUGAAAUCGUACAGAUUCACAUAACAAUCAUGGGAAUUCUCACUAAAGUUAUGUAAUUUGGAAAGUUUAAAAUAACAGUAGUAUGGCUUUGUUGUUUUGUUUGAGAGAAUCUUUCCAUUGAAAUGUCUUGGUUCAAUCAAUCUCUUAACAGUCUUUUUCAGUUUCUUCUGUGAAAUUCAUUUGUUCAGCUUCUGGGUAUAAUUUUGACAACUUAGACUUUCAUAAAAAAUGAUUUUCAGAAAUAUUUUUUAUUUGUCUAAAUAAAUGUACACUGUGCCUGUGGAUUACGUACCCUUUUUUACUCCAAAUUUUGAAUAUUUUUGUAUUAAGUUUAUUUAUGAAUUCUAUUCUUUUCUUUAUAAAUUCUUUGAUG
rnacentral:lncRNA from 1 species